rnacentral:lncRNA from 1 species
UGCUGGUUCAGCUAUGUCGGCAAUGGAUGGACAGGUUAGGAUUACAUUGUGCCGAAAAUGUUGACGUACAUUUCUGACUGUUCCUUUCUUAUUUUUCGGUGCAUCUAACUUGUUCAUUGCUUCUUUUUCAGCCGUUGAAUGGCCGUAACAUCCGUGUGAGCAAUGCUACUGAUAGACCAACUGCUCCUUGAGGUAAUUUUGGCGAUGGCGGCGGUGUAUGGUGAUGCCAGAGAGAAUGAUAGUUUCUGAUUAGCCAGUAUUUUAUUGUUCUGCUGUCCAUAGCAUGGGCUAUUUUAAGUUUACAGUCUAGGAUUGUGAGAUGCAUUAUUAUGCUUCUUUUAAAUGGAUUUUGUUAUGUAUGGUUUGAAUUCAAGUUUUCCUGUUACUUUGUAUUUGUGUUGCAAGACACAUACUUUCCGGAAAUA